rnacentral:rRNA from 1 species
AGUGAACGCUGGCGGUAGGCCUAACACAUGCAAGUCGAACGGCAGCACAGUAAGAGCUUGCUCUUACGGGUGGCGACUGGCGGACGGGUGAGGCAUACAUCAGAAUCUACUUUUUCGUGGGGGACAACGUAGGGAAACUGACGCUAAUACCGCAUACGACCUACGGCUUAAAUCAGGGGUUAUUCGCACCUUUCCUGAUCGAUUUAGCCGAUGUCGGAUUAGCUAGUUGGCGGGGUAAAGGCCCACCAAGGCGACGAUCCGUAGCUGGUCUGAGAGGAUGAUCAGCCACACUGGAACUGAGACACGGUCCAGACUCCUACGGGAGGCAGCAGUGGGGAAUAUUGGACAAUGGGCGCAAGCCUGAUCCAGCCAUACCGCGUGGGUGAAGAAGGCCUUCGGGUUGUAAAGCCCUUUUGUUGGGAAAGAAAAGCAGCAGGUUAAUACCCCGCUGUUCUGACGGUACCCAAAGAAUAAGCACCGGCUAACUUCGUG